GAUCAAAGUGUAGUAUCUGUUCUUAUCAGCUUAAUAUCUGAUACGUACCCCACCGGGGUACAUCGAUAUUAAACUGAUUUUUGGAACUGGGAGAGGACACAGGAGCUUGCUCCGGCCCCUCCACGGGUUGGCC
rnacentral:snRNA from 1 species